GGUUUGAUCCGUGAAGGCUCAAGAUGACGCUGGCGGAUGUGUACACGCUGCAAGUCGAACGCUGGGACCGGUCUGGUGGCAGUGGCGAACGGGUGAGUAAUGUAUCGGAACGUGCUAAUGGCGGGGGAUAACUACGCAGCGUAUAGCUAAUACCGCACCGCCCUUCGGGAAAGCGAGAGGACCUUCGGGCCUCGCACUAUUAGUGGCUCCGAUAUGGUUAUAGCUAGUUGGUGGGAGUGCAACGGCUCACCAAGGCGACGAUCCAUGGCUUCUGUUUCGGAAGGACAGCAACCACACUGGGACUGAGACACGGCGGGCUCCUGGGAGGCAGCAGUGGGGAAUUUUUGGACAGUGAAACUGAUCCAGCAUCCGGCAAGCUGCGAUGAAGGCCUUCGGGUUAUCAACACUUUUGGCAGAAGAAACUGGCACGGGAUAAUACCCGUGCAACUGACGGCCAGAAUAAGCACAACUGCUACGUGCCAGCAACCGCGGCAUACGUAGGGUACAAGCGUUAAUCGGAAUUACUGGGCGUAAAGCGUGCGCGGGCGGUUCGGAAGAAAAGAUGUGAAAUCCCGAGCUUAACUUUGGAACUGCAUUUUUGUUUACACCGAGCUAGAAAGUGUGUCAGAGGAGGUGGAAUUCCGCGUGUAGCAGUGAAAUGCGUAGAUAUGCGGAGGAACACCGAUGGCGAAGGCGGCCUCACUGGGAUAACACUGACGCUCAUGCACGAAAGCGUGGGAGCAAACGGGAUUAGAUACCCUGGUAGUCCACGCCCUAACGAUGUCAACUGGCUGUUGGGCCUUCGGGCCUUGGUAGCGCAGCUAACGCGUGAAGUUGACCGCCUGGGAAUACGGUCACAGGUCAAACUCAAGAAUUGACGGGGACUACCUGGCAGGCGGAUGAUCAAGCCCGGGUCCAAAUUCGGAAGUGCAACGCGAAAAACCUUACCUGCCCUUGACAAUGUCUGGAAUCCCGAAGAGAUUUGGGAGUGCUCGCAAGAAGAACCGGAACACAGGUGCUGCAUGGCUGUCGUCAGCUCGUGUCAGUGAGAUGUUGAGUUAAGUCCCACGGCAAGCACGCAACCCUUCAUCAUUAGUUGCUACGAAAGGCACUCUAAUGAGACUGCACCAGUAACAAACCGGAGGAAGGUGGGGAUGACGCCAAGUCCCUCAUGGCCCUUAUCGAGUAGGAGCUUCACCCGUCAUACAAUGGUCGGGACAGAGGGUCGCCAACCCGCGAGAAGGCCAAUCCGAAACCCGAUCGUAGUCCGGAUCGCAGUCUGCAACUCGACUGCGUGAAGUCGGAAUCGCUAGUAAUCGCGGAUCAGCAUGUCGCGGUGAAUACGUUCCCGGGUCUUGUACACACCGCCGCAUCACACCAUGGGAGUGGGUUUUACCAGAAAUGAUUAACCUAGCAAAAUAGGGAGGCGAUUACCACGGUAGGAUUCAUGACUGGGGUAAGUCGUAACAGGUACAA
rnacentral:rRNA from 1 species